rnacentral:rRNA from 1 species
AGUGAACGCUGGCGGUAGGCCUAACACAUGCAAGUCGAACGGCAGCACAGUAAGAGCUUGCUCUUACGGGUGGCGAGUGGCGGACGGGUGAGGAAUACAUCGGAAUCUACUUUUUCGUGGGGGAUAACGUAGGGAAACUUACGCUAAUACCGCAUACGACCUACGGGUGAAAGCAGUGGAUCUUCGGACCUUGCGCGAUUGAAUGAGCCGAUGUCGGAUUAGCUAGUUGGCGGGGUAAAGGCCCACCAAGGCGACGAUCCGUAGCUGGUCUGAGAGGAUGAUCAGCCACACUGGAACUGAGACACGGUCCAGACUCCUACGGGAGGCAGCAGUGGGGAAUCUUGCACAAUGGGCGCAAGCCUGAUCCAGCCAUACCGCGUGGGUGAAGAAGGCCUUCGGGUUGUAAAGCCCUUUUGUUGGGAAAGAAAAGCAGCAGGUUAAUACCCCGCUGUUCUGACGGUACCCAAAGAAUAAGCACCGGCUAACUUCGUG